rnacentral:rRNA from 1 species
CCUACGGGAGGCAGCAGUGAGGAAUAUUGGUCAAUGGGCUUACGCCUGAACCAGCCACGUCGCGUGAGGGAAGACUGCCCUAUGGGUUGUAAACCUCUUUUGUCAGGGAGCAAUUGGCGCUACGUGUAGCGUUAUCGAGAGUACCUGAAGAAAAAGCAUCGGCUAACUCCGUGCCAGCAGCCGCGGUAAUACGGAGGAUGCGAGCGUUAUCCGGAUUGAUUGGGUUUAAAGGGUGCGUAGGCGGAAUGCCAAGUCAGCGGUAAAAUCGCGGGGCUCAACCUCGCUCCGCCGUUGAAACUGGCGUUCUUGAGUGGGCGAGAAGUAUGCGGAAUGCGUGGUGUAGCGGUGAAAUGCAUAGAUAUCACGCAGAACUCCGAUUGCGAAGGCAGCAUACCGGCGCCCAACUGACGCUGAAGCACGAAAGCGUGGGUAUCGAACAGGAUUAGAUACCCGUGUAGUC